rnacentral:rRNA from 1 species
UGGGGAAUUUUGGACAAUGGGGGAAACCCUGAUCCAGCCAUCCCGCGUGUGCGAUGAAGGCCUUCGGGUUGUAAAGCACUUUUGGCAGGAAAGAAACGUCAUGGGUUAAUACCCCGUGAAACUGACGGUACCUGCAGAAUAAGCACCGGCUAACUACGUGCCAGCAGCCGCGGUAAUACGUAGGGUGCAAGCGUUAAUCGGAAUUACUGGGCGUAAAGCGUGCGCAGGCGGUUCGGAAAGAAAGAUGUGAAAUCCCAGAGCUCAACUUUGGAACUGCAUUUUUAACUACCGGGCUAGAGUGUGUCAGAGGGAGGUGGAAUUCUGCGUGUAGCAGUGAAAUGCGUAGAUAUGCGGAGGAACACCGAUGGCGAAGGCAGCCUCCUGGGAUAACACUGACGCUCAUGCACGAAAGCGUGGGGAGCAAACAGG